ensembl:lncRNA
CAAUUCAGGAAAAGUAGUUGUCAAAUACUUGUCCGUAUAUACUCAAUCAUUUGAGCAGAUCAACUCAAAGGAAACUUUAGGACAAGCCCUGUCUGGCACUUUAAAAUGUGACAGCUCACCCGCUCACGUGGAGGAUGGGCCAGCAGAGACGGGUCAGAUGGACCAUUCCAGGCCCUGGAGCGUGAGGCUUAGUUUUGCAGGGAUCAGUGGGACAGCUGGUAGUAGAGGAACAUUCUCUUGGCAGUGUUGGGUAUGGAAAGUCAAAUCAGGGCUGGAAGCCUUUUUUUUACAAAUAAGUUGGACUUUCAGGUCAACUAUCCCAGGAUGGGGAAUGGGUAGAUAUUUUAAUGUGUUAUGGAUGCUGUAACAAGGUACCGCAGACUGAAGGGCUUGAACCAUGGAAAUGUAUUAUUUCAGGUGUCUGGAGGCUGGAGCGUCUAAAAUCAAGGUGUUGGCAGUGUGGGUUCCUUGUGAGAGAAGGAUCUGUUCCCAGCCUCUCCUGGGCUCAUAGAUGGCCAUCUUCUCCCUCAAGGAGAGCUCUGUGUGCAACUUUCUCCUUUUAUAAGGACAUUAGUCAUGCUGGAUUAGGGCCCUACCUAAUGACCUCAUUUUAAUUUGUUUACCCCUGUACAGGCCCUAUCUCCAAAUAAGGGCACAUUCUAAGGUACUGGGUGAUGGCACAUCAACAUAUGAAUGUAGACUGGGGAUGAAAUUCAACCCAUAAUGGGAGGGAGGCGUGGCAUUCAAUGUAAGAAGCUCCCACUGCUGAUUUCUGGCAGCCUCCUGGAUACACUCAGUGCAGUACCAACUGCUUUCAGUGCCUCAAAAACAAACCUCCUAGAAGCAGUCAGAUUAAAUUCACUGUGUUCUAUUAACUAAUACACAAAGUGCUCAGGGCCUUUUAGAAAGAUUUUCACCAGAGGGUCUGAACAGUUUAAAGACUGGGUAUUUGAAGGAGUAUCAUUUUAAUUAUCAAAGACUUUUAACUUAUAUGUUACUACCUCACUCCCUGAUUUUUCAUUCUGAAUAACUGAGAACUCUGUAUUUAAAAUUGUGCUGUAGCCUAUUUCAUUCUUAUGCCCUAGGAUGUCCUCUUAUGUCCAGAGAAUGCCUAGGACAAUGUGUCUUUAGCAUUAAGUGAUGAAGACAAUUUUAAUGACACUUUUGUUAAGACUGAUAUAGCUCUGCCUCCUAAAAGCUGGAUUACUUUGGGCCAGUGACUUAACCUCUCUGUGCUUCUCUUUGCUUGUCUGUCACAUGGCUUAGUAAUACCUCUCUCACAGAGUUGGAGAGUCAGAUGAAAUAAUGUAGGUAAGCUCUUUGUUUGGGACCUGCCGUGUAGCAGAUGCUCAAUGAAUCGUAGUCUCUCCAGCUUUAUUAUAUUUUGCAUCUUUAUAAACCAAGGUUGUGGCUCAGGAGUCAGGCCUUCAGUGUCUAUUGGCUGAGAGCAGUUGGGGAGGAUCACAGGUCAUGAAUGUGAGCUUCCUGAGCCAGAGGGGGGCUUUAUGAGCAGGGUGAUGCUGAGGAGAGGGAAAUGAUAGAAGGUUGUAAUAUGACCCACUCUCCCAACACCCUGCACAGCUCUGUAAACUGCACACAUCCCAGUAUCAUUGAUACACCUGGAUUUCCUGUAGAAGUUGGCAUGAAAUGGAGGUUGGCACUGGUCUGGUAAAGAACCCAGGGUGGAGACAAAAACUCAGAAGGGAGGAGAGACAGAGGAAUCUAUGAGUAAAUAAGAGCUUAAAUUCAGACUAUUCAACCCUUUAAUCACCAAUGAAUAAAAAAAGGGCAAUGCCAUUUAUUUUCUAUUGUUGGAAAAUCAAACUCUCCUCAAUCUUGGAGAGUAAUUAAGAUAUUAUCAUAUCUAUUGUUGGAAAAUCAAAAAACUCUCCUCAGUCAAUCUCGUGGCUUUCAAUAUUCAGUACAAUUAACCCCCUCCUUAAUUAUCAAUUUUCCUUCCUAAAGUCUGUUCUCUUGAGUCUCUUUGGUUCUCUUGGUCAUUUGGUCACUAGUUUUUCACCCAUAGAGUUAAUCUCUCCUCCUAACUUUCUCUCAUACAGUGUAUGCAACUCUUCCUUGUAUUUUCCCUCUAUUUCUGGCUACUUCCAAUCAUUUAUAGUCCAACUGAAGAGACAUCACUCAAUGGGGAAGUUCACCAUGAUCAGCAGACAAUUCUGAUCACCCAGAAUUUUCCUCUUUUUCCAGCCUCAUUUACCAUCAUUCCUUUCAACGAAUCCUUGAAUCAGAGCAAAUAAGUGACUUACUCUUCCCCUCACCCCCCAGUUCUCUUUUUCAUGAUGCUAUUUUUUCUCCUGGAAUAAGCCUAUUUCUCUCCAUCUCUUCUUCACCCUUUCUUCCCCACUUCCCACCCAGUGCACACACACAAAACUGGAGUCUCCAAGUUCCAGCUCAAAAAACCCCCUCUGUCCUCCCAAGAAGAAAUAAUUCCACUGAUUCUCCCAUGGUAUUUACUUCUGAUGCCAUCACACACCUCAACUAACAGUAUUUUCAGUUGUAUUCUUAAGGAUUUGCAUGGUGAGACUGAAGCUCCCCCACUCCCCAGAGCCUAGCUCACUGCCAGACGUAGAGGGACAGCUCAGUGCAGGUUUUAAUGAAGGGGCAGAUGAAUGAAUGGAAGUGAAUAAUAAUAGGGAAAAUCCCAAACACCAAAUAAUCCCAAAGUAAUCUAUAUGUGACUUUGGAAUGUAUUUUAUACACACAUUCAGAGAACAUCAAACACAAAACUUCAAACAUAGCAGUGAAGCCAGCCUGUGCAGAUCCCAGUUGGGUGGGGUGGCUUGGGAAAAGGGUGGGAAUCCUUACAGGAAGGGAGGAACAUCUCACCAGGCAACUAUCCUUCCCCAGCCUCAGUGGCUUAUUUAGAAAUCAGACUCCAGAUGGCUUAAAGUACAGGGUACAGGGCUGGGUACCUAAUAAGUGAUCUGUAAUGCCUUUGGAAAUGGAAGUGCUUAUGCAAAUGCUAAAUUAUAAUGAUACAAAAAUAACCAUCUCCCAUUAUCUUCUUUAAAGAUGUAAAUGACAUGCUCUUUUAAAUCUAAAGUGGGUUCAAGAAACAGCAGUAAGGGGAGUUCCUAUUGUGGCUCAGGAGUAACAAGACCCACUAGUAUCCCUAAGGAUGUGGGUUGGAUCAAUGGCCUCACUCAGUGGGUUAAGGAUCUGGCAAUGCUGUGAGCUGUGGUGUAGGUCACAGACAUGGCUCGGAUCCUGUGUGGCUGUGGCUUAGGCCAGCAGCUGUACCUCCAAUUGGACCCCUAGGCUGGGAACUUCCAUAUGCCAUGGGUGCGGCCCUAAAAUGACCAAAAGAAAAGAAAAACAAACAGCACUAAUGACAGAGAAUGGUAAUUAGAAUGUUUUUAGAAAAUUACUUGGAAACAGAAUUGUCAACAAAGACCACUCAAAUAUUGCUGGAAACAGCUUAAAUAACAGAAUAAUGCAGUGGCCUAUGGCCCACGUGACAUAAAGAAGAUGUUGAACACAUAUCGGGUCCCAAAUCACUGUCUUCUGAGCAAUUAUGUACAUUGUUUUUAACCUCAGUCUUUCUGGGUCAUUCCAAAUGUGAUGGAGAGCCAAGUGCCCUUGAACAUCCUGCUACUUAGUAAAGUCUUAUCCGAGUUCACUCCUAUGUUCUGGAUAAGUCUCCCUUUCCCCUCUUCUUUGCAUUCUUUGUUAUCUUUGGCAUUCGUUUUUGAAAAACAUGCGCCUCACUUGGAACAAAUCCAUUAAAGCAAACAACCUUAAAACUUUCCCAACAGCCCCCACUGCUGCAACCCACAGGCAGCCCAGAUCCCAUGGAACCCACCACCCAGGGAUGUCAGUGCUUGCAGAGAUCCUGGUGGAAGAGUUUCUUGUUAGCUAUCAUAGAGUCUGACGUGGACAUAUCUCAAUUUUAAUUCCCUGCAGACAUGUGCAGCUCCGGCCUGUGAUAAGCAAAUAGGCGGAUGGAAUGUAGAGGGGGGGGGAAAGAAAGGCAUGGGUGGAGGAGGGUGUGGAACAGGAGGCAAAGGACACAUUGUAAACGCUGGGACUGAAACAUGUUCUUAGUACUUCAUUAGUAACAGAGCAAAACCAUGGCAAUUUGAGGAGAGCUGCUUCAUUAAAAUAUUGCCACUUUUUUUCCUUCCCCCAGUAAAGCUCGAGUACACCUCCCCAUUUAUUCCCUGUAUUGGAGGACUGAGCAAUUCCUUGCAGUUGUGUGUGUAUGUUUUAAGGCAAAGCAUGGAGCAAAAAUAUUUUUUUAAAAGAAACCAUAUUCCGUGAAAUUCUUUCUAAAAUGUGUAUUCCACAUGCUUCUCUGACUAGACAGCAUCACAAGUAGGGGACCUGUCUUGCUAUUGAGGGCUCCAAUGUUAUUAUUCGAGCCAACUGCCAUAGAAAAUGCUGGAAUAUAGUUAUGCUUGGCAAUAUUGAAUCAUUUUCAAAAUGUUUUAGUCCACUUUGGACUUUACUGUCACUUUUUGUAACCCCAUCCACUUUUCAAUUUCCUGCUUACAUGUUACAGCCUAAAACUACUUAGAACUGUGGCAAGAAUGAGUCUAAUUGGCUCUUAGUGAGUAAAGUGACAUUCAUUGCUUGCUAGGAUUCUUUUACUUUUUAUUUCUAUCUGUUUCUUGACCAUAUUUCAAAGAUUUGAGCUGACUUUAGAAAUGGGGUACCAGUGAAAUUAAUAAAAGAAGCUAAUUAUAGUACAGAAUUUCAGCAUCUGAUAGAGAUUAUUAUGAAAUAGGUUAUACAUAACUUGAUUUCAGUUUCCUGGCUUUUAAUUUCAUAUUUUCAGGAUGAUACAAUAUGUUAACAUCCCAUUUAUUUUAAUGAAUUUAAUUCGUAAAAUUUCCACAAACACAAUGAAGAUAAUUCUAUUACAGAGAAUUUGUUAUCUGGAGAAAAGAAAUAACAACCCCCAAAUCCCUGGUCUUAUAAUCAUAAUACUACCACUUUGCACUGUGGUAUACUUCUUUUGGUAUGUUUCCCAAGCAUGCUUUUUUGCAAACAUACUGACAUUUCUAUACAAGUUUACAUCCUGGUUUAAAAACAAUUUUUUUAAAUUGAAGUACAGUUGAUUAACAAUGAUUCAGGUGUACAGCAAAAUGAUUUGAUUAUACAUGCAGUUAUAUAUAUAUAUUUUUAGAUC